rnacentral:rRNA from 1 species
UCGUACGCUUCUUUUUCCACCGGAGCUUGCUCCACCGGAAAAAGAAGAGUGGCGAACGGGUGAGUAACACGUGGGUAACCUGCCCAUCAGAAGGGGAUAACACUUGGAAACAGGUGCUAAUACCGUAUAACAAUCGAAACCGCAUGGUUUUGAUUUGAAAGGCGCUUUCGGGUGUCGCUGAUGGAUGGACCCGCGGUGCAUUAGCUAGUUGGUGAGGUAACGGCUCACCAAGGCCACGAUGCAUAGCCGACCUGAGAGGGUGAUCGGCCACAUUGGGACUGAGACACGGCCCAAACUCCUACGGGAGGCAGCAGUAGGGAAUCUUCGGCAAUGGACGAAAGUCUGACCGAGCAACGCCGCGUGAGUGAAGAAGGUUUUCGGAUCGUAAAACUCUGUUGUUAGAGAAGAACAAGGAUGAGAGUAACUGUUCAUCCCUUGACGGUAUCUAACCAGAAAGCCACGGCUAACUACGUGCCAGCAGCCGCGGUAAUACGUAGGUGGCAAGCGUUGUCCGGAUUUAUUGGGCGUAAAGCGAGCGCAGGCGGUUUCUUAAGUCUGAUGUGAAAGCCCCCGGCUCAACCGGGGAGGGUCAUUGGAAACUGGGAGACUUGAGUGCAGAAGAGGAGAGUGGAAUUCCAUGUGUAGCGGUGAAAUGCGUAGAUAUAUGGAGGAACACCAGUGGCGAAGGCGGCUCUCUGGUCUGUAACUGACGCUGAGGCUCGAAAGCGUGGGGAGCAAACAGGAUUAGAUACCCUGGUAGUCCACGCCGUAAACGAUGAGUGCUAAGUGUUGGAGGGUUUCCGCCCUUCAGUGCUGCAGCUAACGCAUUAAGCACUCCGCCUGGGGAGUACGACCGCAAGGUUGAAACUCAAAGGAAUUGACGGGGGCCCGCACAAGCGGUGGAGCAUGUGGUUUAAUUCGAAGCAACGCGAAGAACCUUACCAGGUCUUGACAUCCUUUGACCACUCUAGAGAUAGAGCUUCCCCUUCGGGGGCAAAGUGACAGGUGGUGCAUGGUUGUCGUCAGCUCGUGUCGUGAGAUGUUGGGUUAAGUCCCGCAACGAGCGCAACCCUUAUUGUUAGUUGCCAUCAUUUAGUUGGGCACUCUAGCAAGACUGCCGGUGACAAACCGGAGGAAGGUGGGGAUGACGUCAAAUCAUCAUGCCCCUUAUGACCUGGGCUACACACGUGCUACAAUGGGAAGUACAACGAGUCGCGAAGUCGCGAGGCUAAGCUAAUCUCUUAAAGCUUCUCUCAGUUCGGAUUGUAGGCUGCAACUCGCCUACAUGAAGCCGGAAUCGCUAGUAAUCGCGGAUCAGCACGCCGCGGUGAAUACGUUCCCGGGCCUUGUACACACCGCCCGUCACACCACGAGAGUUUGUAACACCCGAAGUCGGUGAGGUAACCUUUGGAGCCAGC